CAUAGCAAAGGCCCGCGUUUCACUUACAAGCAGUAGGCGGUCCUGGCGCGUCACAACUGGGCACAUCGGGCAAGGCAGCUUCUGCACACCCUUCCUCAGGGGACUGACAGGCAUCGCCCGUCUGGGAGGCCUUCACUGCGACCUGCAGGCUCUCAGCUAAGAAGCAGGAAAACGAAAGAGAGUCAGGACUUUGUCUUAUUGUGCUAUAUCCUCAGCACCAAGACCACAGCGAUGAGUAGUUCUGUGAAAUAGCAUUUACCGGAGAAGGUUAUCACAGGAACCUCGCAGCUAUGAAAAUCCACGUGACAAGACAAAGAAGUUGCGGAUUAGCUAGCAGUGUGACCUAAUAGCAACUUCUCGGGCGAUAAGCUUCUGAAGGGAAAUAACGGAUGGCUUCUGAUCCUGCGCAAAACAGGAGGACGUGCAGAUGAAACAGCAUCCCAUCCAAAGUGAGGUCUCGCAGAGCACGUUAGCGAAGAAAAGCAACCGUGUUAGCAUCCACAGCCCCACCACAUCUGAGGAGGUCUGCAGGCACACAUCCCUGUAGGCAUGGAAGGCCUCUGCCACAGAAGAGGAGGAACCGGAGCUGCCACCGGUAGCCCCAUGGUUACAAUAUAUCCACUGUGAUUCCACAAGGUGGCUGAGUCUAUGGAGAACCCCGUAACAGCCGAGAGGGGUUGCUGGACACAUCAGUAGGGGGUCAUGACAUUUGCAAUACAUAUAAUUCAAACAGAUCAGGAAAUUGGGGACGUGGUUAAAGCCUCUGGCUUUCUGCUGGUGUCGCUUUGGGAGAGCAUCUCUGGACUUUAUACAACUUGCACACUCUGUGAUCAGAGGCAAUGUGCUGAACGGUGCAGAAGCCGAUUGAUUGCCCCAACCUGA